rnacentral:rRNA from 1 species
AUUGAACGCUGGCGGCAGGCCUAACACAUGCAAGUCGAACGAGUGGCGGACGGGUGAGUAAUGUCUGGGAAACUGCCCGAUGGAGGGAGAUAACUACUGGAAACCGUAGCUAAUACCGCAUACCGUCGUAUGUGCCCAGAUGGGAUUAGCUAGUAGGUGGGGUAACGGCUCACCUAGGCGACGAUCCCUAGCUGGUCUGAGAGGGUGACCAGCCACACUGGGACUGAGACACGGCCCAGACUCCUACGGGAGGCAGCAGUGGGGAAUAUUGCACAAUGGACGCAAGCCUGACGGAGCAAUGCCGCGUGUAUGAAGAAGGCUUUCGGGUUGUAAAGCACUUUCAGCGAGGAGGCGUUACUCGCAGAAGAAGCACCGGCUAACUCCGUGCCAGCAGCCGCGGUAAUUC